rnacentral:rRNA from 1 species
UUAACACAUGCAAGUGGUGCGACGAACCAGGGCUUGCCCUGGGGCAGAGCCGCGAACGGGUGAGUAACACGUGGGUUACCUGCCUCGAUGACCGGGACAACCCGAGGAAACUCGGGCUAAUACCGGAUGUGCCCGCAAGGGGAAAGGAAGCUUCGGCCUCCGCAUCGAGAUGGGCCCGCGGCCCAUUAGCUUGUUGGUGAGGUAACGGCUCACCAAGGCUUCGAUGGGUAGCUGGUCUGAGAGGACGAUCAGCCACACUGGGACUGAGACACGGCCCAGACUCCUACGGGAGGCAGCAGUGGGGAAUCUUGCGCAAUGCGCGAAAGCGUGACGCAGCAACGCCGCGUGGGGGAAGAAGGCUUUCGGGUUGUAAACCCCUUUCAGUUGGGACGAAGCUUCUCCGGUGAAUAGCCGGACGGAGUGACGGUACCUUCACAAGAAGCACCGGCUAACUACGUGCCAGCAGCCGCGGUAAU